UACGUGUGGGGCAAGCGUUGUUCGGAAUUACUGGGCUUAAAGGGUGCGUAGGCGGUUUUGUAAGUCAGGGGUGAAAGUCGGUGGCCUAACCAUCGAAUUGCCUUUGAUACUGUGAAACUUGAGUGUGUUAGGGGUGAGCGGAACGUGUAGUGUAGCGGUGAAAUGCGUAGAUAUUACACGGAAGGCCGGAGCCGAAGGGGGCUCACUGGGACACAACUGACGCUGAGGCACGAAAGCGUGGGGAGCAAACAGG
rnacentral:misc_RNA from 1 species